rnacentral:lncRNA from 1 species
AUGACACUGACUUGCCUCUUGCCACAGAAAAAUCUGAUUUCUGUGUAAACUGUGGGGAAUCAGCUGUGCCAAGACCGUCCAGGUGGAGUUAAGCUGAGCAUGGUACAGCCUGUCAGAGAAUAUCUCCUUACAAAAGCCAGACAUGAAUCACUUUGAUGAAUGUGUUUUACCCACCUGGUCCUAUCAUUCCAUGGUGUGGUUAACCUAACACAGAGAGCAAAUAAUUCAGCUCCAUCCAGCAGAAAACUUGGCUCUCUCCCUCUUCCCCACCAGCUUUUGUCAGGAGCAGAGCCAAAGAAAUUUCCUGCAGUUUCAAGAGUUUAUGGCCUGAUCUAAGGAAAACACAAUGUAAUUCUUAUGGAACUUCUUAACAACAGGUUGUCUUUGUCAUUUACUGGAUGUUUUGUAGCAUAAAACCCCCCAAAUACUCAGGAAAUGUUCCCUUUAAUGCCCUUAUGGAACCAUUCUCUUGUCCCUGUAAAAAGCCAGCAGGAAAUCAUACAAGGAACACAUGAUCUUAGAGGUCUUUUCCAGCCUUAAUGAUUCUGUGUUUUUCACUAUUCAAACAGCAUGUUCAGUAUCAGUAGAUGCUGCAGAAAUAUGGUAUUUUGGACUAAAAUUAUUUGACUUGUAAAACUUUAAGACAAUGUUGAAAACCAUUCUGGGGCUUGCUAGAGGAAAACAGAGGAUUUGAGCUUCUAUUGGGAUUUUUUUCCUGCUUGUUUCUAAAACAAAUGGCAGCUUCUAAUGCACUUAUUUGAGACUCCUUGGUAUUUAUCACGGCCUUAUUGAGGGAUCAUUUUCAGGGACUUUGAAAAAGCAGAAGG